GGAGAAGGACACGAACUGGAAGGGGGUUCACGGUCAAACUGAAAUGGAUUUGCGCGUUGGGGAGCAGGCGGCGGCGGCUGCUGGUCCUGCGCCUUCCUUCUACGUGAAAUCAGUGAGGUGAGACUUCCCAGACCCCGGAGGCGUGGAGGAGAGGAGACUGUUUGAUGUGGUACAGGGGCAGUCAGUGGAAAGCGAGUGGUUUCGGAAAAAAAAAAAAAAAAAAAAAAAAAAAAAAAGGUUUUUUUCUUCUCUUAAUCGGAAUCGUGAUGGUGUUGGAUUAUUUCAAUGGUGGGGUUAAUAUAGCAUGUUAUCCUGUCUAUCUUUUAAAGAUUUCUGUAUAAGACUGUUGAGCAGUUUUUAAAAUAGUGUAGGAUAAUAUAAAAAGCAGAUAGAUGGCGCUAUGUUUGAUUCCUACAACGAAAUUAUCACCAGCUUUUUUUCAUUCUUAACUCUCUAAAGGAUUCAAACGCAACUCAAAUCUGUGCUGGACUUUAAAAAAACAAUUCAGGACCAAAUUUUUUCUCAGUGUGUGUGUUUAUUCCUUAUAGGUGUAAAUGAGAAGACGUGUUUUUUUCCUUCACCGAUGCUCCAUCCUCGUAUUUCUUUUUCCUUGUAAAUGUAAUCAGAUGCCAUUUUAUAUGUGGACGUAUUUAUACUGGCCAAACAUUUUUUUGCUUUUGUCCCUUUUUUUCUUUCCUUUCUUUUUACUUUAUUUCUUUAUUCCUUCCUUUUUUUUUCCUUGUUUUCUUUCUUUUUUUUUUUUUUUUGGUAAUUGUUGUUACCCACGCCAUUUUACGUCUCCUUCACUGAAGGGCUAGAGUUUUAACUUUUAAUUUUUUAUAUUUAAAUGUAGACUUUUGACACUUUUAAAAAACAAAAAAAAGACAAGAGAGAUGAAAACGUUUGAUUAUUUUCUCAGUGUAUUUUUGUAAAAAAUAUAUAAAGGGGGUGUUAAUCGGUGUAAAUCGCUGUUUGGAUUUCCUGAUUUUAUAACAGGGCGGCUGGUUAAUAUCUCACACAGUUUAAAAAAUCAGCCCCUAAUUUCUCCAUGUUUACACUUCAAUCUGCAGGCUUCUUAAAGUGACAGUAUCCCUUAACCUGCCACCAGUGUCCACCCUCCGAUCCCUGUCUUGUAGAAAGGGGAGGAGAAUUAGCCAAACACUGUAAGCUUUUAAGAAAAACAAAGUUUUAAAAAGAAAUACUGCUCUGUCCAGAGGCUUUAAAACUGGUGCAUUUACAGCAAAAAGGGAUUCUGUAGCUUUAACUCGUAAACCACAUCUUUUUUGCACUUUUUUUAUAAGCAAAAACGUGCCGUUUAAACCACUGGAUCUAUCUAAAUGCCGAUUUGAGUUCGCGACACUAUGUACUGCGUUUUUCAUUCUUGUAUUUGACUAUUUAAUCCUUUCUACUUGUCGCUAAAUAUAAUUGUUUUAGUCUUAUGGCAUGAUGAUAGCAUAUGUGUUCAGGUUUAUAGCUGUUGUGUUUAAAAAUUGAAAAAAGUGGAAAACAUCUUUGUACAUUUAAGUCUGUAUUAUAAUAAGCAAAAAGAUUGUGUGUAUGUAUGUUUAAUAUAACAUGACAGGCACUAGGACGUCUGCCUUUUUAAGGCAGUUCCGUUAAGGGUUUUUGUUUUUAAACUUUUUUUUGCCAUCCAUCCUGUGCAAUAUGCCGUGUAGAAUAUUUGUCUUAAAAUUCAAGGCCACAAAAACAAUGUUUGGGGGAAAAAAAGAAAAAAUCAUGCCAGCUAAUCAUGUCAAGUUCACUGCCUGUCAGAUUGUUGAUAUAUACCUUCUGUACAUAACUUUUUUUGAGAAGGAAAUAAAAUCAGCUGGAACUGA
ensembl:lncRNA